GGCAGUCGUGGUACAGGCACGCAGUCAGUCUCCCGAUCGCCAUGGACCGGUUCGUGGGUCGCGUCGCCGUCGUUACCGGCGCCAGCUCCGGCAUCGGCGCCAACGUUGCCAAGGACCUGGUCAACGCGGGCAUGGUCGUCGUGGGCGUCGCAAGGAGGAAGGACCGACUCGAGGGCUUGGCGGCGUCGCUGCGCGCGUCUGGGGCCAAGGGCCGCCUGGAGGUGGUGCAGGCCGACCUGUCCAGCGUGGAGGAGGUCGGGCGGGUCUUCCAGUGGGUGGAGGACAACCUGGGUGGCGUGUCUGUCGUUGUCAACAACGCCGCCAUCCUCGCGCACCACCCGAUUCAAGAUUUGGAUUUGCUUCAGAUCCAGGCCAUCAUCGCCACCAACGUGACUGCGGUCAUGGCUGGCUGCAAGCUGGCGAUCAGCAGCAUGAAGAAGCAUAACAUCAGGGACGGGCACGUCAUCAACGUCAACAGUGUGACCGGGCACAUGGUGCUGGGCCACCCAACGCCGGUCUCCGCCUACACGUCGACGAAGCAUGCCAUCACAGCCAUGAGCAAGGCGCUUCGGUUUGACGUACAACUGAUCCCUGGUUUCAAAAUUCGCGUGACGAGUCUCAGCCCUGGAACCGUCCUGACUGACAUGGUGCCGGAGCAACACGCAAAGAGCAUGAUGGCAGCGGACUGCAUACUCGACACGAAAGACGUGUCUAACGCCGUCAUGUACGCUCUGUCCUGCCCCCCUUCAGUUGAGAUCACCGAGCUCACAAUCCAGCCAACUGGAGAAAAACUCUGAACGCAGACGUCUUUCUUAGGGAACAAGGAGACCGUGAACGUCCAGUAAGGUGAGGUCCACCGGAUGCUCAAAUUGACAAGGCGCUAUUACCUCGGACCCAAGCUGCAAAAAACCUCGUUUUUAUCAAUAAAUAUUUAGUUUUUUACAGUUUUUAUUUGAU